UGUGUGUGUAUGUGUGUGUGUGUGUGUGUGUGUGUGUAUGUAUGUAUGUAGACACACACACACACACACACACACACACACACACAACAC
rnacentral:miRNA from 1 species